CCAGGCCCACUUUCCACACCCCUGCAGGUGUUGCUCCAAGGAGCCUCUGCACCUCCUCCCAGACUCAGAUCUGUUUCCUGGGACCCAGGCAUGAGGCUUCUCCCCGGCAGCCUCCGAUGUCACGUGGAUCAGGCAAAGCUGGGCAUCUGUGUCCACGCUGUCUCCUCUCCAGGAUCAGGAGGUGCUGAGCAUCUGUGUCCACGCUGUCUCCUCUCCAGGAUCAGGAGGUGCUGAGCAUCUGUGUCCACGCUGUCUCCUCUCCAGGAUCAGGAGGUGCUGAGCGUCUGUGUCCACGCUGUCUCCUCUCCGGGAUCAGGAGGUGCUGAGCGUCUGUGUCCAC
rnacentral:lncRNA from 10 species